UAUGCCAUCAACAGGAGAUAAUUGCACACAUUGUUGCGAUACUGAUUACUGCAACGAUAACGGAUGUGGACUGACAGGUUGGUCAAACAUUUAAGAAAAGGGCUUGAUACCAACUUGCAUGUUUUCCACAUGUAAGAAUAAACCCAUAGGCGAAUGCUACCAUCCUGCAAGUCAGCGUGGGCCGAUAUGUUUUGACUGCGAUGAUAUGACUGACAUGACUUUUUGCAAGCAGAUCACGCAAUGUGCUCCCGACGAGAUGUGUACAGUGUAUGGAAGUCCGUCAAUGAAAUACGACAGCAAAUGUAUUUCCAAGAACAAUCAGUGCGAUGCCCAAGGUGGUAACGGGUUUUGUCAGUUUUGCUGCUUCCACGACAUGUGUAACCAAAAUUGCACUAAGCACUAAAAUGGACUUGCUAUAUAUACAAACUCUUAUCUUGAUAAUGUAUUUGGAGUUUUUUUUAAUACUUUAUAACAACACUUGUCGUUGUAAAAUGCUGGAAUGUUAUGUAAUUUGUGUAUAUUCGAAACACAUUAUUGUUGUGCAUUUAAACAUAUAUGAUACUUUAUAUAGGAUGUUAUUUAUUUUUAAAUAAUGAAUAUUGUUGUUCUGGUGUCUUUGUUUUACGUAAAUAAACGAACCCAGCUAAUAUAACUGUUUUUGAUGUUUUGUUAUAGUUUUUAUUUUUCAAUUGUUUCCAAAUGGUUCCUGAACUAUGUUAAAUGUCUCUAAGUCGUAAAAUGCAUAUUGAUACAUUUAUUAAUCGGAAUGAAACGUUCUGACGUGUUAAUAUUAUUUUCUAUAAAUAAAAUUAGUCUAGAUCGUUACUUUGUUAUAUGUGCACACAUAUUUAAAAUCCAUCUCAAACGAAAAUAUUUCAAUCCAUACUGAAAUAGCAUCAGUUCUUACGAUGGGAUACAUCUAUUUUACUUCCUCAAUUUACUCCACAGAUGUUAUAGACUAUUGCGUUCAUCACAAAAUUGUCAUACUUCAGUCGAUUUAGUUUAGUUUUUUGUAAUUACAUCGACCAAAUUGUUUACAGACGCAGGGAUUGCAACACUGAUAUAUAUUUAACAUGUAAUUGGACUUAGACUUACGACAACAGUCGUUCUAAGUAUAGUAAUGUGACUUGUUAAUAGUUUUAUUUGAUCGUUCGUUCAAAAGUUGUAACUCUGUUUCUCUUGUAUUUUCAAUGCAAUUGAGUAAUUAAAUAGUAAUUAAAUUGAAUGCGUUUUAAUUCCCUUUUAUUAUUGUUUAAUUUGAGUUACAAUGCUAUGACGUGAAAUUUUAUUUACACUUAAAUGUAUUAUGAAUAUUGCUGGGCCAAGUGUGAGGUUGAGCGCUCUAUAACCAGGUUUAAACCCCCAAUGCUUUGCAUUGACCGUUCCAAGGCGGUGACCCCAGCUUUAUUCAUAUUUUGUGUUUAUGUUGGUUUGUAUUGUGCUGUAUUGUGCUGUUUUGUACUGUUUGGGCAAUCGGUCACUCGCCUUAAAUAAAGGACCAACUAAUUGUU